rnacentral:rRNA from 1 species
AAAUUGAAGAGUUUGAUCAUGGCUCAGAUUGAACGCUGGCGGCAGGCCUAACACAUGCAAGUCGAGCGGUAGCACAGAGAGCUUGCUCUCGGGUGACGAGCGGCGGACGGGUGAGUAAUGUCUGGGAAACUGCCUGAUGGAGGGGGAUAACUACUGGAAACGGUAGCUAAUACCGCAUAACGUCGCAAGACCAAAGUGGGGGACCUUCGGGCCUCAUGCCAUCAGAUGUGCCCAGAUGGGAUUAGCUAGUAGGUGGGGUAACGGCUCACCUAGGCGACGAUCCCUAGCUGGUCUGAGAGGAUGACCAGCCACACUGGAACUGAGACACGGUCCAGACUCCUACGGGAGGCAGCAGUGGGGAAUAUUGCACAAUGGGCGCAAGCCUGAUGCAGCCAUGCCGCGUGUGUGAAGAAGGCCUUCGGGUUGUAAAGCACUUUCAGCGGGGAGGAAGGCGUUAAGGUUAAUAACCUUGUCGAUUGACGUUACCCGCAGAAGAAGCACCGGCUAACUCCGUGCCAGCAGCCGCGGUAAUACGGAGGGUGCAAGCGUUAAUCGGAAUUACUGGGCGUAAAGCGCACGCAGGCGGUCUGUCAAGUCGGA